rnacentral:lncRNA from 1 species
GUUCACGUAAAGUAGUUUUGGUGGAGAUGAUCCAUUGGCUCGAGGGCACAGUACUUGACAUUAUUUUGAGAAUAAUUGCCGGAAAACGUUACACUUCACAAUCACAAGAGGUUAAUGAUUGGCAACAGCAAAUAACAAAGAUCGCUGCCUUGUCUGGUCAGUUCGUGGUGUCCGAUGCGUUGCCCUUUCUGAGACGGUUAGAUAUCGGUGGAUAUGAGAGAUUAAUGAGCAAGACAGCUAAAUAUUUUGACAUUAUUUUACAAGAAUGGUUGGAUGAGCACAAGAUGAAAAGAGAUUCUGGUGAAGUCAAGGGCGACGAGGAUUUCAUAUAUGUGUUGUUGUCCCUACUUGAUGAUAAUGCAGAGCAGCUUCCCGAUCGCGAAGCUGACACUGUCAUUAAAGCAAUCUGCUUGGUAUAAUAUAUCCUAAUGAAAAGCUUGUGGUGUGUUUGUGUUUGUAUUGUUAUAUGAAUGUCACAGACUCACAGAUUUCUUACUGCUUUUAAUUUGCAGAAUCUAAUCGUAGCGGGUACAGACACCACAGUAGUUACAUUGACAUGGGCUAUUGCUUUACUUCUCAACAAUCCCGAUGUUCUGAAGAAGGCACAAGACGAAUUAGACAUUCAGGUUGGCACUGAAAGGCAAGUGAAUGAAUCAGACAUGAGGAAUUUGGUUUACUUGCAGGCCAUUAUCAAGGAAACAAUGCGUUUAUACCCUGCUGGACCACUUUUACUACCUCACGAGUCUAUAGAAGAAUGCAUCGUCAAUGGUUACCACGUCCCUGCAGGCACCCAACUGUUUGUUAACGCCUGGAAGAUUCAACGCGAUCCAUGUGUUUGGGAGGAGCCAUGUCAAUUUCAGCCAGAAAGAUUUCUUACUAGGCAUAAGGAUAUUGAUGUUGGGGGACAAGAUUUUGAAUUGAUACCAUUUGGGAGUGGAAGAAGAAUGUGUCCUGCAGUGUCACUAGGCCUUCAAGUUAUGCAACUAACGCUUGCUUCAUUAGUGCAUGGGUUUGAUUUUACAACCCCAUCAGAUGAACCGGUUGACAUGGGAGAGGCAAUGGGCCUAACCAUUGCUAAGGCUACUCCGCUUGAAGUGCUUGUUAGUCCACGCCUUUCUGCUUCUUUAUAUGGUUAAAAUUAGCUUGUGUACUUGUUAAUGCAAAUGAUUAAGUUGUACUUGUCAACAACUUAGUGAUAAGGUGCGUUUAUAUCAUUGGGUGUCAUCACUGUGCGUUUAGCACACUGCAUUAAAGGUGAGUUUGGCAUAUUACACUACAUUGUAUUAUUUAACGUUUAGUAAGUUGUUAUUGACUGUAUUAUAUUAACAUUAUAUAUAUUAUGUUAAUAGUGUAUAAUAUUUGGUAUUGUUUUGUACUUUAUUAAUUUUUAUGUAUCCUAUAUUUUGUGUUGCAUUGCAUUGCAUUAUAUUAAUUAUGUAUCCUAUAUUUUGGUUGCAUUGCAUUGCAUUAUAUUAAUUCUUUUGGUGAAAAUUUUAAAUUACAAGUUGGGAAAAAAUUAAUUAGUACUUAGAAAAAUGAUAAAAUAGAUGUUUUGAAUUUUAUAUUUUUUACAUAAAUUAUUUUUAGUAUAAGUGUAAAACAUAUCAUAAUUCUUUUGAACAUAUGUAAAAUUAAGAAAUUCUAAAAUUUUUGGUGUGUGUGUGUGUAUGAGCAGUUCUCAAAUAUUUAUCUUGUGAAAUAAAGAUCCAAGAAAAUAAUUCAAUCAAAUAACCUUUAAAAAUUAUCAUAACAUAAAUAAAUAGAUAAAGCCAUCUCAUAAUAAAGAUCACAACAACAAAAAUUUACAAAUACCACAACAUACUAGAACCCUAAUCACUUAUGAGAAUGAGGUGAAAUGGGAAUGGGGAACGGGAAUCAUGAUAUAUUGUUUAUUUGAGACAAGAAUCGGAAUCGCAAUGGGUUGAAAUCUCAUUGAUAUGUUUACAUUUUCUCUUGGAAUCAGAAUCAUAAUAAGUUGAAUUGUUUCAAGUUACUAAAGUACCCUUAGUUAAUUAUAAUAAUAACUAUUAUUAUUAUUAUUAUGAUAAUGAUUAUUAUUAUUAAUAAUAAACUUUUGUUAAUAUAUUAAUUAAUUAUAUUCAUAUGUUGUUAGUAUAUUAAUUAAUUAUAAUUUAUCAUUAAUAAUAAUAAUAAUAAUAAUAAUAAUAAUAAUAAUAAUAAUAAUAAUAAUCAAAAUAAAAAAUCAUCAUCAUCAACAAAAUAAUCCAUUUCCAAAAUAAUAAUAAUAAUAAUAAUAAUAAUAAUCAUCAAAUUAAUCCAUUUCCCAAAUAAUCAUUGUCAACAAAAAUAAUCCAUUUCCCAAAAACAAAUUAUAGCAAUAAUCAAAAUCGAAAUUGUCAUCGUCAUCAACAACAACGGCAACAACAAUCAUCGUCGUUAGCAGCAGCAACAUCAUCAGAUCAGAACUGUCGCCAUUAGAGACGAAAUCUGAGAUGAAAUGAGAUGGGGGCGAAAUCGAGACAACGACGAAAUUGACACGGCCCAACGGAUAUGAAAGGGGUGGGUGUUUGGAUCGGGUUGACCCGAUCCAAACCAAACUCGAAAUUAAUUUCGAGUUCGGUUCGGUUCGAGUUGAAACUUACAACUCGUUUGGGUUAAAAAUCUAAACCUGAUCGGGUUGUAUUUCGGUUCGGGUUUAACCCGAACCGAAUAAUCAACCUGAUUGGGUCAAAAAAAUUAAAAAAACAAAGUUUAAAACCCGAAUCGAAAUACAACCCGAUUGUGUCAAAAAAAUUAAAAAAAAAAGUUUAAAAACAUAAAUAUAAACCUAACCCUAACCUAACAACUCCCAAACACACACUUCUCACUUUCUGAGCCGCCACUUGACUUCUCCGCUUCUUCUUCUUCUUUUCCUUUUCUUCCUCCACUGACAAAUAUCAUCUUCUUCUUUUCUUUUUCUUCUUCAUUUCUUCUUCUUCUUUCCUUACACGCUGCCAGACAUCUUCUUCUUCUUCUUCUUUCCUUCGGUUGCUGCCAAGCAUCUUUUUCUUCUUCUUAUUCUUAUUUUCUUCCUCCAUUGCCAAAUAAUUCUUCUGCUUUUUUUUUUAUCUCCAUUAAUUAAUUGUUUAAUAAUUUAUUUUUUAAUUGUUAGUUAAUUUCUUAGUUUUCUUUUGUUAAUUUUUUUUGUUAAAUGUUAAAUUUAGAAUUCUAUACAUUAAUCAGUUAAUUUUUAAAUAAGAUUAUAGGAAAUUUGUGUGAUAUUUAGUUAAUUUUUUCUGUUUUUGGAUGAGAUAAAAUUAUGGUUACAUAAUAUAAACGAACUCGAAUUUAUAACCCAAACCGAACCAAAUCGAAUUAAAUUCGGUUUGGUUUGGUUCGGGUUUGUAGUUUGAACCCGAUUGAGUUAAAUCUUCCAAACCGAAUGGGUUGAAACCCAAACCGAAACCCGAACAAGCUGAACUGAAAUCCGAUUUGCCCACCCCUAUAUGUAUGAAUGGCAAAAGGUCGGGUCGGGCUCGGGCUUGGCCAAGCCUUACCCGACCCGAUCAAAAAAAUUUAAAACCCAACCCUAAAAAAACUCGAAUAUUAUUUAGUUAGGGUCGGGCCCGGCUAGGGAUGGUAAUUUUUCCCGUUGGGAUGGGAUCCUGCGGGAUCCCGUCCCGUUUAGGAUGGGAUUGAGACAUAUUUUUUCAUCCCAAAUUAAAAUGGGAUGGGAUAAGGAUAAAAAUAAAUCCCGCUUUUAUUUAUGGGACGGGAGGAGGACCAAUUAUAAAAUCCCAUCUUAUCCUGUAUAUCCCGUUAAUAUUAUAAUUUAAAAUAAAAAGUGAAAAAGUCACAAAUAAAAUUAAUAAUUUAUAGCAAUAAUUACCCUUAAAAACUCAACCAAUUUCCUAAAUUAACACUGCACCCUAAGUGUUGACCGCCCAACGCCCCUUGCCCUCACCACAAAAAUUUUUACUCCGCCACAAAAGUUCCCAAGCAGCCACCCACGACUUGCCCACUACGCCUCUACUAGCAAUUCAUCCACAAAAUUCUCGCUUUUCAGCCUCCACACCGUAAGUUAACAUUCAUAAUUUGGCUUUUUUUGUUUUUAUUGUUCACAGUUUUGUGCUCUUUUCAUAUAAUUGAUAUUUGUUAAAUAUUAUUAUAUUAUAUACGGCAAUCUAGUUGAAGUUGUUAUAUUAUAAUGAUUAUUAUAUUUGUUUAAGUAGUAUUGAGUUUUAAAAUAAAAGUUCUUGUGGUCCCAUAUUAUUAUUACUUUUGUUUUAUAUGGUUUGAUGUUUGUAAAAGGUUAAUUUAUAUUUAAUUCAUUUAUUUGAGUUGUGGAUUGUUGUUUUCUUUUUGCUUUAAAGGAUGGCUUCUCCUCCAGUAGUGGACAAUGAAAGUUUAGAUAAUGAUGAUGUGCAUGUUGUUGAAGAAAACGCCAAAGACAAUGAUUUAACAUCAAGAUUAAGAUCAGUGGUCUGGAAACAUUUUGAAAGAAGAUAAAAAAUGGAAAAAUAAGAGCCUUUUGUAAGCACUGCAAUAAAGACUAUGUUGGAGGUCCUAGAGAUGGAACAAGACACUUGAACGAUCACAUGAAAAUAUGCCCUCGGCGUAAUCAAAUUGAGAUAACACAUUAUUCAAAGAAGUUAAAAACAGUUGAGGAUGAUCAGGGAAAUGUGAAGGUAGAGACUUAUUCUUUGAUCCUGAUGUCACUAGGGGAUUGAUUGCACGUAUGAUCAUUAUGCAUGAGUACCCAUUAAGUUGCGUUGAGCAUGAAUGGUUUAGAAAAGUGUUGUCUUCUUUAAACCCAAUGUGGAAAAACGUAUCUCGCAAUACUAUAAAAAGUGAUAUUAUGGAGCCAUAUGAGAUGGAAAAGGUUAAGGUUGUGAGUUUAAUAGAGAGUAACAGUAGUAAAGUUGCAAUCACAACCGACAUGUGGACUUGUGGCUCCCAAACAAAAGGGUACAUGGCUAUUACAACACCUUUAUUGAUGAUUCUUGGACCUUACGGAGUCAAAUUUUGAGGUACUAUGUUUAAUUCUAAUUAACAUUGAAAUAUUUAGUGCAUUAUAUUUAUUUAUUGAAUAUAUUUGUAAUUAAUUGUAUUUUUUCUAUGUAGGUUUAUUCAUGUGCAAGCUCGACAUACUUCUCAAGUACUUUGUGAUAUACUAUUGAGAUGUUUAAUGGAUCUUAAUCUUGAGCGUAAGUUAUCUGCAUUAACUGUUGAUAAUUGCACUACUAAUGAUCGAAUGAUUCAACUUCUACUAGAUAAACUUGAUAAAAAUGAUUUUCUUAUGGGUGGCAAGUUGUUUCAUAUGCGAUGUACUGCUCACAUUUUAAAUUUGAUUGUCAAAGAGGGGUUAAGUGUUAUUAGUGAUGGUGUUGCUAAAAUUCGUGCUAGUGUUGCAUUUUGGACAGUUACCCCUCAAAGAAGGGAAAAAAUUAAAGAGAUUUCUCGUAGGUUGAAUAUUCCAUGUAGUAAGGAGUUAGUUCUUGAUUGCAUCACUAGAUGGAACUCUACUUAUCUCAUGAUUUCUGUUGCCUUGGAGUAUAAAAAUGUCUUUUAUAGAUUGCAUCAAUUGGAGGCACAAUAUAGGUGUUUGCCAAGUGAAAGUGAAUGGGAGUUAGCUCGUAUAUUGUCAAAUAAUUUGAAAUCAUUUUAUAAUGUGACUGAGGUAUUUUCUGGAACUAAGUACCCCACAUCCAAUUUGUUUUUCAUUCAUAUUUGUGAGAUUAGAUUAUCAUUAGGUAGUUGGCUUACAUGUGAGCAUGAUGAAGUUAGACAAAUGGCAACUAACAUGAUUGGCAAAUUUGAAAAAUAUUGGAAAGAUGUUAAUGGGGUAUUAACCGUGGCAACAAUGUUGGAUCCUAGAUAUAAAAUGAAAUUGAUUGAGUUCUACUUUCCAUUGUUAUAUGGUGAUGAAUCAAAUAUUCAUAUUGAGAGAGUUCAUAUGCUUUUAAAGGAAUUAAUAAAGAAGUAUGAAUUUAAGGCCAAAUUAUCUGUAAGCGGUCCUAGCGCGGGUGCUUUUAGUUCUAGUAUAGGAGAGUCCUCAGUCGUUAUGUCUCAUGUUGAGGAACAACUUUCAAGUAGGUAUGAUGAUUUUUUGAAAGUCAAUAUGGUUGAGAACCGUAAGACUGAGCUUGAGUCAUAUUUAAGUGAAUAUGUGUUGAUUAUCAAGGACAAAAAUUUUGAUAUUUUGGGGUGGUGGAAAAUAAAUGCAAUACAAUAUCCUUUGUUAUCUACUAUUGCUAGUGAUAUACUAGCAAUCCCAGUGUCAACAGUUGCUUUUGAGUCAGCUUUUAGCACAUGUGGUAGAGUAGUUAGCCCACAUCGUAAUAGACUACACUCACAAACAGUGGAGGCAUUGAUGUGCACUCAAAGUUGGUUGAAUGCUUACACAAGAGGUAAUUUAUUUUAUUGUAAUUUAUGCAUAUUUUAAAUGUUCAAACUUUUUUUAUUUUCUUUUCUAGUUUUUAAUUUUUUUUUUUUUUUGUUUUCUAAGACAAUGGGCAUACAACUUCUAGUGAAAAUCCUACAUUUGCAGAUGAAGAAAAAGUUGAUGCAGAGAUUGAAGAGGUAACUGAUUUUAUUAAUUUUGAACAUUAAUGAUUAAUUAUUAUGUAAUUAUCAAAAUAUUAGUCUUACUCUAACCUCUCUUUAUUAAAUUCCUGUAGGUUUAUACAGAAAUUUGAAAGUGCGGUCUUGAAAGUGUGGUUAGAGUAUGAAGUUUUCUUGUCUAAUGAAGUGGGAACUGGAAUUGAAGUCAACUUUUGGAAGAUUAUGUUAAUUUUUAACUUUUGCUUGAACUUUGGAACUUAGAUUGAUUUGGAUUAGCUUCAGAACUUUGAAUUUUUUGUUUCUUUAUUUGCUAUAUAUUGAUUUAUGACGAUCCUUAAAAGAAAAAAAUUAAAAUUUAUUUAUUUACAUUUGGGACUAUUUAAGAUAAUGGGAUGGGACGGGAUAUUUAAUGGGACAUGAUUGGAAUAAAUUUUUGUCCCAAAAAAAAUAAAGGGACGGGAAUGUGACUUUUUUUAGUCCCAAAUCAAUAUACGGGACAGGACUGGGAUUGACAAAUCCCGUCCCAUCCCAUCCCAUUGCCAACCCUAGGCCCGGCCCAACCCAACCCGAAUCGUUUCAACAUCGGGUCGGGCCCAACCCGACCCUACCGAAAUAGUUAACCCUCCCAUUUCCCACCACCAUUUCAACAAAUUCGGCAAUUUCUCAACCAUUUCAAACACAAUUCAAUUCCACUUUCCACAACCAUUUCAACCCCACACACAAAUCAAUUCCAAAAUCCAACAUGAAAAACACACAAUGUAAUUCCACAACCAUUUUAGCCAUACACAAUUCAAUUUAACAAUCCAACAUAAAAAAUAAAAAAUAAAAAACUCAUGUCUUAUACAAAUAAAAACACACAAUUUAGUUCCACAACCCAACAUUAAAAAAAAUGUAUUAUACAAAUAAAAAAAACUCAUGUCUUAUACAAAUAAAAACUCAUAAUUCAUAAAAACACACAAUUUAGUUUUUUUUUAAUAGGGUCGGGUCAGGUCAGCUUUAAGCCCGACUCUGACCCGAAAUUUGUUCGGGCCUUAAACUUUUGACCAUAACCCGACCCUAACCUCAAAAAUUCGGGUCAAAUCCCUAAAAAUUAGAGCAGGUCGAUCGGCCCAAAAAUAAGGUCGGGCUAAAUUGCCAAGCCUACCUACAUAAAACUGGCAACCAGCAGCUGUCCACAGCCGAUGGACCACGAUGGCAAAGAUGGUGAUGGCCGUGAUGGCGAUGGAAGCACUCCAAUGGCAUUCGAUUGGGAGGCACAGGCAAGAGAGUUUAAGUUUUAGGGAUUUUUUUAUUUUUCGCUUUUUAUAUUUUUUUAAUCUAAAGCGGGGGUAUUUUUGGAAUAAUAAAAAAUUAAUGCGGGUAAAAUGGAAAAUGUUGGGAAUGGGAAUCAGAUUCCUAUACUUAUUCUCAAAUUGCUGUGGGAUCCACCAAAAUGAAUCUCAUUUCGGAUUCUUUCCUAGUCCAUUUUUUUUCUCUCUUAAUCUCUCUCAGUAUUUCAAUUCUAGUUUUAAAAAAAAUUGACUUAAUGGUAAACAAAGUGAAACAAGUCUGCCUAAAUUAUUAACAUUAAAAUUCAAAAAAUUCAAGAGUCAAGACUACUCAUUUUAGAGGCUAGUAGAGAAAAAAGAUUUGAAGAGGAUUCACGUUCAAAAAUAUAAAUGAUACAUCAUACAAGAUCCUUAAACAUUAUAUGAUAUGUCAUUACAUUUAUAAAUGAAGAGUCAUUCAAUUUUCACUAUGGAGUAAAGAUUAUACAAAAUGUUAUCUGCCAUAAAACUAUAAACGACAUAUAUGAAUUUCAGACAAGUAAUUUUACUCCAAGUAAGAAUCAACAACAUUUUACCUAUUUAGUAUCUUAAUUUCUUUUGAAUUCCAACUGAAGUAACAUUUAUUUAUUAAAUGGUAAAUUAAAAAUUUCAUGAGUUAUGAAGUUCAUCAUAAUGAGUCAUAUAAUAUUGAGAGUCAAGUUGAAACUCAAAGAUUAAAACUCCUAAAUUAGCUAACAUAAAAUUUAGAAACUCAUUAAAUAUGUAUAAAUGUUUAUAAUUAACUUAUUUUGCAGCUAAUUUUUCCAACUUAAAAACAUGUUAAUUCCAAAGGUCCCUUAAGAUGAAGAUUCCUAAUUUCACCUUAACCUUGGUAUGACAAUAAGCUUGACUUGAUAACCUUAAAAGGGUAAACUAGAGCCUAUAAAACUUAAUGGAACAAGUGUGAAAUACCUUCUCAAUAUACUGAAAUGAAUUUCCUACCACUACAAAAUUUUAUAAUUCUCAUUGAAAUUAAAAAUCCCAAAAAUUUAACAAUAAUUCUUAAGACUUUGAAAACGAAUGAGCGGGAAACACUGAAACUUCAUACACAAAAUUCAAGUGCUUGUAGGUAUCUAAAAGUAUAAUAGCAGAUUAAGAAUGGAAUAGACUUCAUGGGCGAACUGGAACUCCGGUGGCUGGGCGUGGCGCUUGACCAGGCUGACCAGGCUUUGGCAAAUCAUCCUGAAAGAAAAGGAAAAAAAGAAAAAGAAAACAAAAUAUAAGAGCCAAUGAAGAAAAUUUUCAAGUACGCGAGCACAAACGAAGACCAUAUAAAACUGACAAGCUUAACCAUUUUUCAAAUGCUACAGAAAUCACACAGCAACUAUCCCAAGACCAAAAACAUCCUCAAUUUGGGCUUUUACCACACAGAGACAUAACACUGUCUCCUUUUUUUCCCUUCCCCCCGCCCCCUCCCUCCCUCCCUCUUAGGCUAACCCAGAAGUAAGCUUUUUUAACAGGCUGAAUGAGGAUAUUACUACUGGCAAGGAAAUCCUUGUGAUAAAAUAGACUAGGUAAGUGGUCUAUCUGCCUACAUCUAUAAACCAUAAAUCAUUCUAAAAAUCAAUAUGAACAGAGAGCAUUAGCCAAAACCCUGAUUAAAAAAUCUCAAUAGAAACAUGAAAAAGAUACCCUGCGUCUCAUAAAACGCUUUGGUGGUUCACGGUUCCUGCGGUCAGUGCGCGAGCGAACCCUCACCACAUGCGAGUGAAUUGCACAGGAGACACAGUACUGCAUCUUUGCAUACAACUUAGGCAGAACAUAGUCUGCAUCAAAUAUAAAAGAUUCCCAUUAUUUCCCAUUCAAACAAUACAUAAUUAAUUACAAAAUAAGAGAAAUAAUAACAUGUGUAGUAGAUAUUUACUAUCAUAGAUGCAGGCAUCCUGCACGUCUCUGACAGCAGCUUGCUCAACAAUGUUCCUCACAAGGAACCUCUUGAUGGCCUUGUCCUUUUCAUCCAUUCACAACCCAAAAUUUAAAAAAAAAAAAAAAAAUUGUGUCAAACUACAACAAACAAAAGGCAUAUAAAUUAAUUUUUAAAUGCAAACUUAACAUCAUUAAUUUUUAGUAACUUGGAAGUGAGAAGACGGAAUAAUUAAAUAAUAUUUGUGUUAUAAGAUAUGAUAAAAAUCAGAUGUCUAAUUGUAACUGGUAUUCCUAACCAUCGUGGUAGCGGGGAUGCGCGGAUACCAAUAAACAACUCUAGUCUAGUCUAACUGUAUGAUUUGACCAAUACAUCCGCAAAAUUUAUCAUGACACGAUUUUACAAAAAUAUGGAAGAACUGAAAAAAUGAAUCUUCUUUCCCGUAAUGCCACACAAUUGCCUCAUUUGGCAGGGAAAAAUUCUCAAUGUUGUUCAUUUUUAUCAAAAUAAACAAAAAAAAAAAGGGAAUCAUAUAAUACUAAUAAUAAAAAAACAGAUACAAUUUUAAUUAAUGAAAGCGAUACAAAAAUAAAAACAAAAGUGUAUACUUUGGGGCAGCAUUUGCCGUUCCGACGCUUGAAGGUCUGCCACAGAAAAAAAUAAAUAUAAUAAAUCAAAUUUAUAUUAAACAAAAAAAAAUUCUUCUUUUUUCAAUAAUAAUAUUUUUGGAAAUCAGAAAGAUAAAACAUUUUCGCAAACCAUUCUGUUUUCUUCAAGGGAUGAUCUCCCCUUUCCAAUUUUUGACAACCACGCCUAACCCAAUCAUCAUUUCUUCUGAAGUUGACAUUGCUGCAAGAGUAAAAAAGAAUGUUGAAAUUGAAUUAUUAAUUUGGAAGAAUAUCAUGACGCAAUUAAACAAAAACUGAAUAUUUUAUCUUUCCUACUCUCUCAAUAAUUUUGACUGCAUACUUUUUCUGAAAAAAAAAACAAAAAAAACUCAUAUCUAGAUUCAGUCACAAAGCCAAAUCUCUCUAAUCAUACGUCUAUAUUAAAAAACACAAAUAAGAGAUUCCAAGAACUUGUUAACACCCUUUUGGAAUAAUUGAUUCUAAGGGUGAAAAAAAAAAUUGGUAUUUAAUAGAAUUUUCGUAAUGACAAAAAGUAAAUGGACCCAAGUGAUAAAACAAUAUAAUUGAUGGACAAAAGAUCAUUUUUCAUUUGUGUUGCCGACACCGUAGUUUGGUUUACGCUUCCCGACCCAUGAUAUUCAAGUCCAGUUACCUUUGUCAUCCCAUAAAAUUGUCCAUAAUUAAAAUAAGGCAUGUUUUAUAUUCUGUGGCUAAUAUUUAGAGCAAAUGAAUUUUCCAAGUCCUCCCAUAAAAAUAUCAUAUCCCAACAUAAUCUUCAACCAUUUUAAUGGUUAAAAUUACAAGAGAAGUCGUAUCUAUGUUUUAUCACAAUUGUUUGGCAACCACCAAAUUGGCCGUAUAAAGCCAUUGAUGAAUCAGAAAAAGAUACCAUUGUCGAAAACUUGGCCAUUGUGGUCCCUGAUGUAUAAAACUGACCAUAGGAUUAGCAAAGGUUUGUCAAUGAGCAGAACUUACGUUCACGUCAAGCACACUUAAAUGUUAUCUAUAUACUGUAUAGACAUUGCUCUGAACUAAACUCUUGAUUCAGAGUCCCCGAGUCGGCUGCAAAGGAAUGGCCAUGAAUAAUCUUUCAACAGAAUCGACUGCUGCUGUAGCAAUUUCAGCCUUAGUGAUAUUCCUCUCAAUUUUCCUCUUGAUUUCAAGAAAUGGGCAAAAAAGGACACUCAAGAAUAAGCAAGCUCAACAAGCACCGGUAGCAGGGGGAGCAUGGCCUUUGAUAGGCCACCUACAUCUCUUACGAGGGCCAGAGCCAGCUCACAGAGUUUUGGGCAACCUGGCUGACAAAUAUGGAACAAUAUUCACUAUGAAGUUGGGGGUGAAACAUGCUUUAGUGGUGAGCAACUGGGAAAUUGCUAAGGAGUGUUUUACCACAAAUGACAAAGCUUUUGCAAGUCGCCCCAAAACAAUGGCCGUAGAGCUUAUGGGGUACAACUUUUUGGUCAUAGGCUUCGCACCAUAUGGCAAGUACUGGCGUCAGUCACGUAAGAUAGUGACAAUUGAGCUUCUGUCAAAUUGUCGCCUUGAGAAUCUGAAGUGAAGGCUUCAAUCCAGAGGUUAUACAAGAAUUGCAUAAGUAGCAGCAGUUCACGUAAAGUAGUUUCCGUGGAGAUGAUCCAUUGGCUCGAGGGCACAGUACUUGACAUUAUUUUGAGAAUAAUUGCCGGAAAACGUCACACUUCACAAUCAGAAGAGGCUAAUGAUUGGCAACGGCAAAUAACAAAGAUCGCUGCCUUGUCUGGUCAGUUCGUGGUGUCCGAUGCGUUGCCCUUUCUGAGACGGUUAGAAAUCGGUGGAUAUGAGAGAUUAAUGAGCAUGACAGCUAAAUAUUGCGACAUCAUUUUGCAAGAAUGGGUGGAUGAGCACAAGAUGAAAAGAGUUUCUGGUGAAGUUAAGGGCGACGAGGAUUUCAUAUAUGUGUUGUUGUCCCUACUUGAUGAUAAUGCAGAGCAGCUUCCGGAUUGCGAAGCUGACACUGUCAUUAAAGCAAUCUGCUUGGUAUAAUAUAUCCUUAUGAAAUGCUUGUGGUGUGUUUGUGUUUGCAUUGUAACAUGAAUGUCACAGAUUUCUUAUUGCUUUUAAUUUGCAGACUCUAAUCGUAGCGGCUGCAGAGACCACAGUAGUUACAUUGACAUGGGCUAUUGCUUUACUUCUCAACAAUCCCGAGGUUCUGAAGAAGGCACAAGAUGAAUUAGACAUUCAGGUUGGUACUGAAAGGCCAGUGAAUGAAUCAGACACGAUAAAUUUGGUUUACUUGCAGGCCAUUAUCAAGGAAACGAUGCGUUUAUACCCUGCUGCACCACUAUUAGUACCUCACGAGUCUAUAGAAGAAUGCGUCGUCAAUGGUUACCAUGUCCCCGCAGGCACCCAACUGUUUGUUAACGCUUGGAAGAUUCAACGCGACCCAAGUGUAUGGGAGGAGCCAUGUCAGUUUCAGCCAGAAAGAUUUCUUACGAGGUAUAAGGAUAUUGAUGUCAGGGGGCAAAAUUUUGAAUUGAUACCAUUUGGCAGUGGAAGACGAAUGUGUCCUGCAGUGUCAUCAGGCCUCCAAGUUGUGCAACUAACGCUUGCUUCAUUAGUGCAUGCGUUUGAUUUUACAACCCCAUCAGAUGAACCGGUUGACAUGGGAGAGGCAAUGGGCCUAACCAUUGCUAAAGCUACACCACUUGAAGUGAUUCUUACUCCACGCCUUUCUGCUUGUUUAUAUGGUUAAAAUUAGCUUGUGUACUUGUUAAGGCAAAAAUAAGUUGUACUUUUGAACGACUUAGUGAUAAGGUGCGUUUAUAUCAAUGGGUGUCAUCACCGUGCGUUUAUCACGUUGCAUUAUAUUAAAGGUGAGUUUGACAUAUCAUAUUACAUUGUAUUAUUUUACGUUUAGUAAGUUGUUUUUUAUUGUAUUAUGUUAACAUUAUAUUAUAUUAAUAUUGUAUAAUAUUUGAUACUAUAUUGGACUAUAUUAAUUUUUAUUUAUCUUAUGUUUGGUGUUGCAUUGCAUUGCAUUACAUUAUAUUAAUUAUUUUGGUGAAAAAUUUAGAUUAAAAGUUGGGAAAAAAUAUUAAUUAGCACUUAGAAAAAAUGAUAAAAUAGAUAUUGUAAAUUUUAUAAUUUUUUACAUCAAUUAUAUUUUAGUAUAAAUGUAAAAGAUAUCACAAUUCUUUUGAACAUAUGUAAAAUUAAAAAAUUCUAGCCGUUCUCAAAUAUAUAUCUUGUGAAAUAAAGAUCAAAGAAAAUAAUUCAAUCAAAUAAUCUCUAAAAAUUAUCAUAACAUAAAUAAAUAGAUAAAAGCCAUCUCAUGAUAAAGAUGACAACAAAAGCAUUUGCAUAUACCACAACAAACUAGAACCCUAAUCACUAAAUAAAAUGGAUAGAACAAUGCACCAAACUGAGUUCAAUUUAUAGCUGGAGGACGUUCUAAUUCUGUUGGUUCUUCCAGGGCUCUGGCUCACUGGUGGUGCCAUAAGCCCCUAUGGACGGGCCCUCUUCAUGAUGUUACACACAUCACAGAAAUUAAAUUCAGCUGAGAAGUGGGAUGGGUUGGUAAUGGCACAUGAACUGAUCUGGGAAAAAUUUUAUCACGGAUGAUAGAUGAAAGUGACCCCAGAUUGCCAUUUGGAUACAUCAAACUGGAUGAGGUCCUUGACUUAAGUUAAUUUCUUCGGUUUGUUAAAUGACAAUCCUAUUCUUCUGUCAUUUAUUCUGCAUUGUUGUGUUGAAAUUCCAUGUAGUUGGUGAUUUUUCUAACUUCAUUAGAUGGCAAGCAGUGCAAGGAUGAAUUCUCCUUCCCUAGAGACCAUGAUGAGCGCCAUGCAAAAGGUAUUCUUGCAGUAGACUCUUUAAAGUGUUUAUUACAUACCAAGCCUUUGUGUCAUAUGAAGGAUUGACAUCUUGGGAAAGCUGUAAAAAAAGGCAGCUAUUCUUCCCUCAACUGGGUAUAAAGAAAGGAUGUCCACAGCUCCAUUCUGCAUUUCCUUGUAUGACCAUGCCUAGUGACUAUUGCAGGAGGGAUGCGUAGCAAGUAGGUCACACAUUGCUUCCAAUGCAAUCAAGACAAAUUGUCCCAUGGUAGUAUGCAUCAGGAUCGCCAAGGAACUUCAGGGCUGCCAGAAAACAUAGGCUAAGUGAUGUUGGUAUGGACAAGACUGGUAGCAGAAGCCAUGCCUAGCUUUUCCGGAAGCAAUCAGAAUUUAGCGAUGUAACUGCGUCUCCGUAGACAGGAGUUGAUUGCCCAUAUGCACCCAAGGGAUUUUUUUUUUUUUUGGCCAACUGCAAGAUUUUGAACGAACGGAACGAAGGCCGCAAUGAAUUAUGAAAAGGGUGGAUUAAAAUGAUUUUAAUUAUAUUGACUUGGAAGAAACCGAUUCCUGAGUUUCAGUAAAAAAUUAUGAAUUGAUUUUAAUAUAGUUUCAUACAUGGUAUACUUUGACGCAAUUAUCACCGAUUAACUAAUAUAACAUAAUUAAAUUUAAAUUCAUUUUGUUUAAAUAAAUCAAUACACAUCAUAGCUGAAAAUAUAGACUUAGGAUUCUUUCCUAGUCUUUUUUUUUUCCCUCUCGUAGUCUCUCUCAAUAUUCCAAUUCUAGUUAAAAAAAAAAUGACUUAAUUGUAAACAAAGUGAAACAAGUCUGCCUAAAUUAUUAACAUUAAAAUUCAAGAGUUGGUCUAUGGCUGGUGGGCUUCCUAUUCUCAGUAAAAUCUCGGCUUGCAGCUUAGAUUUAGUUCGGUGGGGCUAUCAUCGUGCUCGGGAUUUCAAAGCUCAAAUUAAGAAGUGCAAGGAUAAAAUGCAUCAGCUUCGGGGCAAGCGUGAUGAAGUCAGCUUGACUGACUUUAUUGAAGCUCGAGAUAGGUACAAUGAGCUCUUGCAUAGCCACGAAGUUUAUUGGAAGCACCGUUCGAAGACGUUUUGGCUUCGGGAUGGGGAUUCAAACUCAAAGUUUUUCCAUGCCAUGGCCUCAACUAGGAAGUGUACGAAUACCUUAAUCAAGCUUCGCAAUCAAGAGGGGCAAUGGUGUACUAAUCCUGAGGAUGUAAAUAAUUUAAUUUGUGAGUAUUUCACAACUUUAUUUACUGCUGGGAUUUGUUCUUAUGGUGAUGUGCUUAAUUGUGUGGAAUCUAAAAUUACUGAUGCACAAAAUCAAUCUCUUUUGGAACCUUUUGCUGCUGAAGAUGUUCAAUCUGCCGUGUUUGAUAUGCAACCUGAUAAGUCCCCUGGUCCUGAUGGAAUGAACCCAGCAUUUUACCAAAAGUUUUGGAAUGUUGUGGGUACUGAUAUUACUGAGGCGUGUUUUAGGUUCAUUCGGGAUUGUUCUUUCCCUGAUGGGCUUAAUGAGACUUCUAUUGUCCUUAUUCCUAAGAAGAAACAAAUAGAGUUCUUAACUGAUGUUCGACCAAUUUCCUUAUGCAAUGUCCUCUAUAAAAUUGUAGCCAAGAUGCUUGCUAACCGUAUGAAGAUGGUUUUAGGAUCGAUAAUUUCCGAUUCUCAGAGUGCUUUUGUUCCAGGCAGAGCUAUUGCGGAUAAUGUAUUAAUCUCGGCUGAGAUAAUGCACUUUCUUAAACGGAAACGUUAAGGAAAGGAAAGGAGGGGAUUGCUGCUUUAAAGAUCGACAUGUCCAAGGCUUAUGAUUGGAUUGAGUGGGGGUUUCUUAGAUCGAUUUUACUGAAGUUGGGCUUUGAUGUUGGUUGGGUGAAUCUUAUUAUGCUAUGUGUCACUACAGUUACCUAUAAGAUUACCCUGGAAGAGUUGGAGCUGGGCCCUAUCGUGCCAAGUCGAGGUCUUAGACAAGGAGAUCCGCUAUCGCCAUAUCUGUUUAUCAUCUGUGCAGAGGGGCUGAGUUUGCUGAUAAAUCACUAUAAGAGGGCUGGGAUGAUCCAUGGGGCUCGAGUUGCUAGAGGUGCUCCUUUGGUUUCUCACCUCUUUUUUGCUGAUGACUGUUUUCUUUUCUUUAAAGCUACUGUUCAUGAGGCUCACCUGGUAAAAAAGAUUUUGGCAACUUAUGAAGCAGCUUCGGGGCAGCAAGUGAACUACAAUAAAUCCUCAGUUUCUUUCAGUAGGAAUAUGGUCGAGGAUACUAUUCAUAAUAUCUGUCAACAGCUUGGAGUUGUAGCUACUACAGACCAUGGUACCUAUCUUGGAUUACCAUCAUAUGUUGGGCACAAGAAAAUAGACAUUUUCAGAUACAUAAAGGAUAAAGUUUGGCAAAGAAUUCAAGGGUGGCAUCAGAAACUCCUCUCUAGAGCUGGAAAGGAAAUCUUAAUUAAAAUUGUGGCACAAGCCAUACUUAAUUAUGCUAUGCAAGUUUACCUCCUCCCUCUCGACCUUUGCCGGGAUCUUGGAAGGAUGAUGAAUUCUUUUUGGUGGGGUAGUAAAAGAUACGAUAGUGGUGGAAUUAAGUGGAUGCAGUGGGGCAGACUUUGUAAGCCCAAAUCUUAUGGUGGUAUUGGAUUUAAACACAUUCAUAAAUUUAAUGUUGCUAUACUAGGGAGACAAGGCUGGAGGUUAAUUACAAAUCCAUCUUCGCUGGUGGGCAGAUUGUUUAAAGCAUGGUAUUAUCCUAAUGCAGAUUUCACUCAAGCAAAGUUGGGAAGUAAUCCGAGUUAUGCAUGGCAAUCGAUUUUGGCUGCUCAGAAGAUUUUAAUCCAAGGGAGUCGUGUCCAAGUUGGGAAUGGGCAGAGCAUUACUAUUGGCUCGGUUCCCUGGUUGCCUGAUCAGGAGAGUGGCUUUAUUACAACUAAUCUUCCAGCGAUGUUAGCAUCAGCUCCUGUGAGUAGUCUUAUGAUUCCUAAUCACCGAAUGUGGGAUUAUGACCUUGUAAAGGAUGUGUUCAACAGAAGAGAUCAAGACUGCAUUCUCCAAAUUCCUCUUAGCUCUCGGAGUAAUUGUGAUACUUGGUAUUGGCUCCCCGACGCAAAAGGAAUUUACACUGUUCGGAGCUGUUAUAAGUGGAUGGAUAUUAUAUCGGAACCGCCUGGCAGUGGAGUUUGGAGUAAGAUUUGGAAGCUGGCUGUGCCCGCCAAAAUCAAGAAUUUUCUUUGGAGAGCUGUGGCAAAUGUGGUUCCCACUGCUGAUAACCUUCUUAGUCGUCGAGUCGAGGUACACCCUUAUUGUACUAUCUGUAAUGCAUCUCUUGAGACAACUUAUCAUGUCUUAGUUGAUUGUCCUUUUGCCAAACAAUGCUGGAUGGUUUCCUUGGUUGGCUUUGCUAGAAAUUUUGUUAAUUUUGGAGCUUGGUUGGAUGCUCUAUUUAUUCGGUGUAGUAUUGAGGAUAGUUGUCUUGCUGCAAUGGUUUGUUGGGGUCUUUGGCAGAAUCAGAAUAAUAAAGUUUGGAACCAUGUAGUAGGCAAAGUGUCUCAAGUGCUCAAUAAAGCUGGUCAAGAUGUUCCAAUGGCAAAAGGCUCGUCAACUGAGUCACUUUACUCAGAUGCCAGCAGAUUUAACUCUUGGCUCUGUUUGCUGGAAACGCCCUCGCUUUGGAUGGUUUAAAUGCAAUGUGGGCGCUGCCACUUCCCGAGCUACUGCUAGGAUAAGCUACGGCGCAGUUAUUCGGUCUUCUGAGGGUAACUUUCUUGCUGCAAAAUGUGGUUCUUUGAUUGGAAUUUUUGAAGCUCGCGAGGCAGAGGCUUUGGGUGUGCGAGAGGUCUUGAGUUAGCUUAAGAACACCCAGUUUUUUCCUAUUAUUAUUGAGACUGAUUGUUUAUAAGUUUUUAAUGCUUUGAUUGACUCCAAGGACUAUCAGAACGGCUUUGGUCUUAUUAUUUCGGAUUGUAGAGCCUUGGCUCAUUGCUUAAAAUAGAUGACUUUCUCUUUUGUAAGGAGAUCUGCGAAUACUGCUGCCCAUAUUGUGGCUAAGGUGGAGUGUUCUUUGUCAGGUCCGAGUGAAUGGAGACAUGUUCCACCACCCUGGUUAUUUUCUCAUUUGUCUAUUUAAUGAAUUUCUUCUUUCUUCAAAAAAAAAAAGAGUCAAGACUAAUCAUUUUAGAGGCUAUUAGAGAAAAAAGAUUUGAAGAGGAGUCAUGUUAAAAAAUAUAAAUAAUACAUCAUACAAGAUCCUUAAACAUUAUUUGAUAUGUCAUUACAUUUAUAAAUGGCAAGUCAUUCAAUUUUCACUCUAGAGUAAAGAUUAUACAAAAUGUUAUCUGCCAUAAAACUAUAAACGACAUAUACCGUAUCUGAUGAAUUUCAGACAAGUAAUUUAACUCCAAGUAAGAAUCAACAACAUUUUACCUAUUUAGUAUCUUAAUUUCUUUUGAAUUCCAAUUGAUGUGACAUUUAUUUAUUAGAUGGUAAAUUAAAAAUUUCGUAAGUUAUGAAGUUCAUCAUAAUGAGUGUCAUAUAAUAUUAAGAGUCAUGUUGAAACUCAAAUAUUAAAACCCCUAACUUAGCUAAGUAACAUAAAAUUUAGAAACUCAUUAAAUAUGCAUAAAUGUUUAUAAUUAACUUAUUUUGCAGCUAAUUUUUCCAACUUGAAAACAUGUUAAUUCCAAAGGUCCCUUGAGAUGAAGAUUCCUAAUUUCACCUUAACCUUGGUGUGACAGUAAGCUUGACUUGAUAUCCUUAAAUGGUUAAACAACUAGAGCCUAUCAAAAUUAAUAGAACAAGUGUGAAAUACCUUCUCAAUAUACUGAAAUGAAUUCCUACCACUACAAAAUUUUAUAAUUCUCAUUGAAAUUAAAAAUCCCAAAAAUUUAACAAUAAUUCUUAAGACUUUGAAAACGAAUGAGCGGGAAACACUGAAACUUCAUACACAAAAUUCAAGUGCUUGUAGGUAUCUAAAAGUAUAAUAGCAGAUUAAGAAUGGGAUAGACUUCAUGGGCGAACUGGAACUCCAAUGGCUGGGCGUGGCGCUUGACCAGGCUGACCAGGCUUUGGCAAAUCAUCCUGAAAAGAAAAAGGGCAAAAAAAAAAAGAAAAAAUAUAUAUAAGAGCCAAUGAAGAAAAUUUUCAAGUACGCGAGCACAAACGAAUACCAUAUAAAACUGACAAGCUUAACCAUUUUUCAAAUGCUACAGAUAUCACACAGCAAUUAUCCCAAGACCAAAAACACAUCCUCAAUUUGGGCUUUUAGUUCUUGUAAAACAAAGGAAAAAGCUACCACACACAGACACAACACUGUCUCCUUUUUUUCCUCUUUCCUCCCGCACCACCCCUCCCCCCUUUCUCUUAGGUUAACUCAGAAUUAUGCAUUUUUAACAGGCUGAAUCAGGAUAUUACUACUAGCAAGGAAAUACUUAUGAUAAAGCACACUAGGUAAAAGGUCUAUCUGCCUACGUCUAUAACCCGUAAAUCACUCUAAAAAUCAAUAUGAACAGAGACCAUUAGCCAAAACCCAGAUUAAAAAAUCUCAAUAGAAACAUGAAAAAGAUACCCUGCAUCUCAUAAAACGCUUUGGUGGUUCACGGUUCCUGCGGUCAGUGCGUGAGUGAACCCUCACCACAUGCGAGUGAAUUGCACCAGAGACACACUACUGCAUCUUUGCAUACAACUUAGGCAGAACAUAGUCUGGAUCAAAUACAAAAGAUUCUCAUUAUUUCCCAUUCAAACAAUACAUAAUUAAUUACAAAAUAAGAGAAAUAAUAACAUGUGUGGCAGAUAUUUACUGUCAUAGAUGCAGGCAUCCUGCACGUCUCUAACAGCAGCUUGCUCAACAAUGUUCCUCACAAGGAAUCUCUUAAUGGCCUUGUCCUUUUCAUCCAUUCACAACCCAAAAUAAAAAAAAAAAAAUGUGUCAAAUUACAACAAACAAAAGGCAUAUUAAUUAAUUUUUAAAUGCAAACUUAACAUCAUUACAACAACUCUAGUCUAAUCUAACUGUAUGAUUUGACCAAUACAUCCGCAAAAUUUAUCAUGACACAAGUUUACAAAAAUAUGGAAGAAUUGAAAAAAUGAUUCUUCUUUCCCGUAAUGCCACACAAUUGCCUCAUUUGGGAGGGAAAAAUUCUCAAUGUCGUUCAUUUUUAUCAAAAAAAAAAAAAAAAACAGGGAAACAUAUAAUACUAAUAAUAAAAAAACAGAUACAAUUUUAAUUAAUGAAAGCGAUACAAAAAUAAAAACAAAAGUGUAUAUUUUGGGGCAGCAUUUGCCGUUCCGACGCUCGAAGGUCUGCCACAGAAAAAAAUAAAUAUAAUAAAUCAAAUUUAUAUUAAAUAAAAACAAUUCUUCUUUUUUCAAUAAUAAUAUUUUUGGAAAUCAGAAAGAUAAAACAUUUUCGCAAACCAUUCUGUUUUCUUCAAGGGAUGAUCUCCCCUUUCCAAUUUUUGACAACCACGCCUAACCCAAUCAUCAUUUCUUCUGAAGUUGACAUUGCUGCAUGAGUAAAAAGGAAUAUUGAAAUUGAAUUAAUAAUUUGGAAGAAUAUCAUAACGCAAUUAAACAAAAACUGAAUAUUUUAUCUUUCCUACUCUCUCAAUAAUUUUGACUGCAUACUUUUUCUGAAAAAAAAAAAAAAAAACUCAUAUCUAGAUUCAGUCACAAAGCCAAAUCUCUCUAAUCAUACGUCUAUAUUAAGAAACACAAAUAAGAGAUUCCAAGAACUUGGUAACACCCUUUUGGAAUAAUUGAUUCUGGAUUUUCAUACUUGGAUAAUGGCUUUUGCUUGGAUACCUCUCCAAUCACUCCAACCCUUUCACACAAUUGAUUGAAUUUCACUUGCUUGAUUUAUAUUACAUCGAGAUUUUGAGCCCGGCAUGGUUAAGGAGUUUUAAAAGUGUAAAAAAUUGGGUGAUUGAAAAAUGAUAGAGCUGAAAAUGAGGGAAAAUUUAGAAUUAUGGGAAUUUUAUUGGGGAAGAAAAAGUAUUUUAAACUCAAUGAUGGGGUGAUUAAGAAAUAGACUGAAUAAAAAAUAAAAAGAAUUUGAAUACCAUCACUCAAAUUUAAUUGUUUAUUAUUAAAAACAUUAACCGAUGAUUUCUAUUUAUAGAAAUAAUAUUUAAGUCCCACAAAUUUUUUUAUUUUUAACUAUUUGUAUCUUUUUCUAAAACUUAUUAUACUCAUAAGAUAUCAAUAAUUAAUGUUCAAAAUGACUUUUUCUAAAUAUUAAAACAAUUAUUAUUAUUAUUAUUAUUAUUAUUAUUAUUAUUUGUUGUAAUAUAGUGGUAGGGACAAAAAUCUAAGGGUGAAAAAAAAAUUGGUAUUUAAUAGAAUUUUCUGUGGCUAUGAUGACCCCAGCAUUAUCUCCAACAUUAUCUCCAACCAUUUUAAAGGUUGAAAUUACAAGAGAAGUCGUAUCGUAUCAAUGUACUAUGUUUAUCACAAUUGUUUAGCAACCACCAAAUUGGCCGUAUAAAGUCGUUGAUGAAUCAGAAAAAGAUACCAUUGUCGAAAACUUGGCCAUUGUGGUCCCUGAUGUAUAAAACUGACCAUAGGAUUAGCAAAGGUUUGUCAAUGAGCAGAACUUACGUUCACGUCAAGCACACUUAAAUGUUAUCUAUAUACUGUAUAGACAUUGCUCUGAACUAAACUCUUGAUUCAGAGUCCCCGAGUCGGCUGCAAAGGAAUGGCCAUGAAUAAUCUUUCAACAGAAUCGACUGCUGCUGUAGCAAUUUCAGCCUUAGUGAUAUUCCUCUCAAUUUUCCUCUUGAUUUCAAGAAAUGGGCGAAAAAGGACACUCAAGAAUAAGCAACGAGCACCAGUUGCAGGGGGAGCAUGGCCUUUGAUAGGCCACCUACAUCUCUUACAAGGGCCAGAGCCAGCUCACAGAGUUUUGGGGCGACCUGCAAAAGCUUUGUCAUUUGUGGUAAAACACUCCUUAGCAAUUUUCCAGUUGCUCACCACUAAAGCUUGUAUCACCCCCAAUUUCAUAGUGAAUAUUUGGGCAACCUGGCUGACAAAUAUGGAACAAUAUUCACUAUGAAGUUGGGGGUGAAACAAACUUUAGUGGUGAGUAACUGGAAAAUUGCUAAGGAGUGUUUUACCACAAAUGACAAAGCUUUUGCAGGUCGCCCCAAAACAAUGGCCGUAGAGCUUAUGGGGUACAACUUUUCGGUCAUAGGCUUCGCGCCAUAUGGCAAGUACUGGCGUCAGUCACGUAAGAUAGUGACAAUUGAGCUUCUGUCAAAUCGUCGCCUUGAGAAGCUCAAACACGUACGUGAAUCUGAAGUGAAGGCUUCAAUCCAGAGGUUAUACAAGAAUUGCAUAAGUAGCAGCAGUUCACGUAAAGUAGUUUCGGUGGAGAUGAUCCAUUGGCUCGAGGGCACAGUACUUGACAUUAUUUUGAGAAUAAUUGCCGGAAAACGUCACACUUCACAAUCAGAAGAGGCUAAUGAUUGGCAACAGCAAAUAACAAAGAUCGCUACCUUUUUUGGUCAGUUCGUGGUGUCCGAUGCGUUGCCAUUUCUGAGACGGUUAGAUAUCGGUGGAUAUGAGAGAUUAAUGAGCAUGACAGCUAAAUAUUGCGACAUCAUUUUGCAAGAAUGGGUGGAUGAGCACAAGAUGAAAAGAGUUUCUGGUGAAGUCAAGGGCGACGAGGAUUUCAUAUAUGUGUUGUUGUCCUUGCUUGAUGAUAAUGCAGAGCAGCUUCCUGAUCGCGAUGCUGACACUGUCAUUAAAGCAAUCUGCUUGGUAUAAUAUAACCUCGUGAAAAGCUUGUGGUGUGUUUGUGUUGUAUUGUUAUACGAAUGUCACAGAUUUCUUACUGCUUUUAAUUUGCAGACUCUAAUCGUAGGGGCUGCAGAGACCACAGUAGUUACAUUGACAUGAGCUAUUGCUUUACUUCUCAACAAUCCCGAGGUUCUGAAGAAGGCACAAGAUGAAUUAGACAUUCAGGUUGGUACUGAAAGGCCAGUGAAUGAAUCAGACACGAGAAAUUUGGUUUACUUGCAGGCCAUUAUCAAGGAAACGAUGCGUUUAUACCCUGCUGCACCACUAUUAGUACCUCACGAGUCUAUAGAAGAAUCCGUCGUCAAUGGUUACCACGUCCCUGCAGGCACCCAACUGUUUGUUAACGCCUGGAAGAUUCAACGCGAUCCAUGUGUUUGGGAGGAGCCAUGUCAAUUUCAGCCAGAAAGAUUUCUUACUAGGCAUAAGGAUAUUGAUGUUGGGGGACAAGAUUUUGAAUUGAUACCAUUUGGGAGUGGAAGAAGAAUGUGUCCUGCAGUGUCAUUUGGCCUCCAAGUUAUGCAGCUAAUGCUUGCUUCAAUAGUGCAUGGGUUUGAUUUUACAACCCCAUCAGAUGAACCGGUUGACAUGGGAGAGGCAAUGGGCCUGACCAUUGCUAAGGCUACUCCACUUGAAGUGCUUGUUAGUCCGCGCCUUUAUGCUUCUUUAUAUGGUUAAAAUUAGCUUGUGUAGUUGUUAAUGCAAAUAAUUAAGUUGUUCUUUUCAACAACUUAGUGAUAAGAUGCGUUUAUAUCAUUGGGUGUCAUCACUGUGCGUUUAGCACACUGCAUUACGUUAAAGGUGAGUUUGGCAUAUUAUACUACAUUGUAUUAUUUAACAUUUAGUAAGUUGCUUUUGACUGUAUUAUAUUAACAUUAUUUAUAUUAUGAUAAAGCACACUAGGUAAAAGGUCUAUCUGCCUACGUCUAUGACCCGUAAAUCACUCUAAAAAUCAAUAUGAACAGAGACCAUUAGCCAAACCCAGAUUAAAAAAUCUCAAUAGAAACAUGAAAAAUAUACGCUGCAUCUCAUAAAACGCUUUGGUGGUUCACGGUUCCUGCGGUCAGUGCGUGAGCGAACCCUCACCACAUGCGAGUGAAUUGCACAGGAGACACAGUACUGCAUCUUUGCAUACAACUUAGUCAGACAUAGUCUGGAUCAAAUACAAAAGAUUCCCAUUAUUUCCCAUUCAAACAAUACAUAAUUAAUUACAAAAUAAGAGAAAUAAUAACAUGUGUAGUAGAUAUUUACUAUCAUAGAUGCAGGCAUCCUGCACGUCUCUGACAGCAGCUUGCUCAACAAUGUUCCUCACAAGGAACCUCUUGAUGGCCUUGUCCUUUUCAUCCAUUCACAACCCAAAAUUUAAAAAAAAAAAAAAAAAUUGUGUCAAACUACAACAAACAAAAGGCAUAUAAAUUAAUUUUUAAAUGCAAACUUAACAUCAUUAAUUUUUAGUAACUUGGAAGUGAGAAGACGGAAUAAUUAAAUAAUAUUUGUGUUAUAAGAUAUGAUAAAAAUCAGAUGUCUAAUUGUAACUGGUAUUCCUAACCAUCGUGGUAGCGGGGAUGCGCGGAUACCAAUAAACAACUCUAGUCUAGUCUAACUGUAUGAUUUGACCAAUACAUCCGCAAAAUUUAUCAUGACACGAUUUUACAAAAAUAUGGAAGAACUGAAAAAAUGAAUCUUCUUUCCCGUAAUGCCACGCAAUUGCCUCAUUUGGGAGGGAAAAUUUCUCAAUGUUGUUCAUUUUUAUCAAAAUAAACAAAAAAAAGGGAAUCAUAUAAUACUAAUAAUAAAAAAACAGAUACAAUUUUAAUUAAUGAAAGCGAUACAAAAAUAAAAACAAAAGUGUAUACUUUGGGGCAGCAUUUGCCGUUCCGACGCUUGAAGGUCUGCCACAGAAAAAAAUAAAUAUAAUAAAUCAAAUUUAUAUUAAAUAAAAACAAUUCUUCUUUUUUCGAUAAUAAUAUUUUUGGAAAUCAGAAAGAUAAAACAUUUUCGCAAACCAUUCUGUUUUCACACAAAGCUAAUCAGAAAGAUAAAAUAUUUUUGACAACCACGCCUAACCCAAUCAUCAUUUCUUCUGAAGUUGACAUUGCUGCAUGAGUAAAAAAGAAUAUUGAAAUUGAAUUAUUAAUUUGGAAGAAUAUCAUAACGUAAUUAAACAAAAAACUGAAUAUUUUAUCUUUCCUACUCUCUCAAUAAUUUUGACUGCAUAAUUUUUCUGAAAAAAAAAAAAAAAAAAAAACUCAUAUCUAGAUUCAGUCACAAAGCCAAAUCUCUCUAAUCAUACCUCUAUAUUAAGAAACACAAAUAAGAGAUUCCAAGAACUUGUUAACACCCUUUUGGAAUGAUUGAUUCUAAGGGUGAAAAAAAAAAAAUUGGUAUUUAAUAGAAUUUUCGUAAUGACAAAAAGGAAAUGGACCCAAGUGAUAAAACAAUAUAAUUGAUGGACAAAAGAUCAUUUUUUAUUUGUGUUGCUGACACCGUAGUUUUGUUUACGCUUCCCGACCCAUAAUAUUCAAGUGCAGGUACUUUUGUCAUCCCAUAUAAAGUAAAUGAAGUUUACCAAGUCAAAAAGGUAGCUUUAAUCUUCAAGCAAUACAGCUGCAAAUUUCGAGUUUUCAAACUUUGAAUUUAUUUUUUUCUUUUUCAAACAUCCGGUACCUACCCUUGACAUAUUUUCCUCUCAAUUUUUUUUAUUCUUCCUCUGUUGUCUUCUUUCUUCAUUUUCCUAUGCCCGGCAUUGACAAAGCACACUUAAAUGUUAUCUAUAUACUGUAUAGACAUUGCUCUGAACUAAACUCUUCAUUCAGAGUCCCCGAGUCGGCUGCAAAGGAUUGGCCAUGAAUAAUCUUUCAACAGAAUCGACUGCUGCUGUAGCAAUUUCAGCCUUAGUGAUAUUCCUCUCAAUUUUCCUCUUGAUUUCAAGAAAUGGGCAAAAAAGGACACUCAAGAAUAAGCAAGCUCAACAAGCACCGGUAGCAGGGGGAGCAUGGCCUUUGAUAGGCCACCUACAUCUCUUACGAGGGCCAGAGCCAGCUCACAGAGUUUUGGGCAACCUGGCUGACAAAUAUGGAACAAUAUUCACUAUGAAGUUGGGGGUGAGACAAGCUUUAGUGGUGAGCAACUGGGAAAUUGCUAAGGAGUGUUUUACCACAAAUGACAAAGCUUUUGCAAGUCGCCCCAAAAGAAUGGCCGUAGAGCUUAUGGGGUACAACUUUUCGGUCAUAGGCUUCGCGCCAUAUGGCAAGUACUGGCGUCAGUCACGUAAGAUAGUGACAAUUGAGCUUCUGUCAAAUCGUCGCCUUGAGAAGCUCAAACACGUACGUGAAUCUGAAGUGAAGGCUUCAAUCCAUAGGUUAUACAAGAAUUGCAUAAGUAGCAGCAGUUCACGUAAAGUAGUUUCCGUGGAGAUGAUCCAUUGGAUCGAGGGCACAGUACUUGACAUUCUUUUGAGAAUAAUUGCCGGAAAACGUCACACUUCACAAUCAGAAGAGGCUAAUGAUUGGCAACAGCAAAUAACAAAGAUCGCUGCCUUGUUUGGUCAGUUCGUGGUGUCCGAUGCGUUGCCCUUUCUGAGACGGUUAGAUAUCGGUGGAUAUAAGAGAUUAAUGAGCAAGACAGCUAAAUAUUUUGACAUUAUUUUGCAAGAAUGGUUGGAUGAGCACAAGAUGAAAAGAGUUUCUGGUGA